rnacentral:snRNA from 1 species
GGAUGUGAGGGGAAUCUGGCUGCAGUACCUGUCACCCUAUUAAUUGUCAGGGAUGACCGAGCUAAUCUGUUUAGGCAGGUAUCCAUUUCUUCCUCUUACUACUCCAGGUGCAUCCCUCCAGAGUCUGUUUGAAAAAAACAACCUUCCCUGGGACCUGGUGGUGGCACACCUGGUUGAG